rnacentral:misc_RNA from 1 species
GAAAUGCGAUAAGUAAUGUGAAUUGCAGAAUUCAGUGAAUCAUCGAAUCUUUGAACGCACAUUGCGCCCGCCAGUAUUCUGGCGAGCAUGCCUGUUCGAGCGUCAUUUCAACCAUCAAGCCCCCGGCUUGUGUUGGGGACCUGCGGCUGCCCGCAGGCCCUGAAAAACAGUGGCGGGCUCGCUGUCACACCGAGCGUAGUAGCAUACAUUCUCGCUCAGGGCGUGCUGCGGGUUCCGGCCGUUAAACGACCUUCAUAACCCAAGGUUGACCUCGGAUCAGGUAGGAAGACCCGCUGAACUUAAGC